GCCACCUGCCAUUCCGACCUCCCCCAGAUAACUAUGGGGUUCCUACGGCCCCCCCAGGCCUCACACCUGAAUUUCUAGGACAUUCCCCGCCUUCCCCAGCCUUCUGGCAAGUGACCCACCAGAAGAAAAUUGAUGUGCAUGGACAGAACAGAAAGUCUAGGCCAUGAAGGAAGUAACGAGAAGUCACAAGCCCAGUGAUGCUGAUUCUGACCGCCCAGGGGCCACAUCUCGGCAGUGAUGGAGUCCGGAUGACAGAUACCCAGGACCAAGGGGCCAGAAUGAGCUCUAUGAAAGUCUUCAUUCAAACAUGGCAGCAUUGUAAGCAAGGAUUUAAGAAGUGCAGCUUAAUUGUCGAAGCAAGCAGUCUUGUCAACACAAAUACACACUUUGAAGUUGGCACCAUCAUUAGAAACAACCUGUGCGGCAACGGUGCCCAGAAUCAACAUGCAAGAAGCAGCGGAAGCCCCCUGACAUUUGGCAGUUUAAGGAGGUUUGCUCAUGGGGUUUGUGUUAGGAUGAGGACGGCCUGUGCACGUCCACCUCGGCAGAACGCAGCAGGUCCCAACUUCUUAGCUGGAUGGUGGCUCCGAAGGAAACAGGGGUCAUGAAUAAAAUUUCCUAUACAAGU
rnacentral:lncRNA from 12 species